AGGGAUAUAACUCAGUGGUAGAGCACCUGCUCAGCAUGCAUGAGGUCCUGGGUUCUAUUUCCAGUAACUCUG
rnacentral:tRNA from 1 species